GUUCACGUUUACGACACUGGAGGGGGCUUUGAACGCAUCAUGACAUCAGCAAGAUUUGGAAAGUUCCGGUGAACUUCGAUGUCAAUUGUUUAAUUGGCGGUGUGCGUCAAUACAAAGACCGGUUGUACCCGUAAAUCCGCGCGAACCCGGGGGACCUGGGUUACCCUGCAGAGAGAAAUGAUGUCAGAGCGACAGGAAGUUGCCAGCGACAGGAAGUCGGCGGUGUCGUCUCACCUGUAGACCGGCACUCCGGGGUACUGGAUGAAGUAGAAUGUUGGCUCUCCUGCAAAUCCCUUUGGUCCUGGAAACCCCUGCAACACAAGUCAGUCAGAGUUGUGACUUUGCAACAAACAGUCGAUGAUGUUGCUGCACCAGAAUAAAAAAGAAGGGACAAAAUGACGUCCAUAGACCUGAUGCUU